UACGAAAGGGGCUAGCGUUGUUCGGAAUUACUGGGCGUAAAGCGCACGUAGGCGGCUUGGUAAGUUGGGGGUGAAAUCCCAGGGCUCAACCCUGGAACUGCCUCCAAAACUGCUAGGCUAGAGGAUGCGAGGGGUUGGCGGAAUUCCGAGUGUAGAGGUGAAAUUCGUAGAUAUUCGGAAGAACACCAGUGGUGAAGGCGGCCAACUGGCGCAUUUCUGACGCUGGGGUGCGAAAGCGUGGGGAGCAAACAGG
rnacentral:rRNA from 1 species